UCCGGUUUGUCACCGGCAGUCUCAUUAGAGUGCCCUUUCGUAGCAACUAAUGACAAGGGUUGCGCUCGUUGCGGGACUUAACCCAACAUCUCACGACACGAGCUGACGACAGCCACGCAGCACCUGUGUAUCGGUUCUCUUUCGAGCACCCCUGAAUCUCUCCAGGGUUCCGACCAUGUCAAGGGUAGGUAAGGUUUUUCGCGUUGCAUCGAAUUAAUCCACAUCAUCCACCGCUUGUGCGGGUCCCCGUCAAUUCCUUAGAGUUUUAAUCUUGCGACCGUACUCCCCAGGCGGUCAACUUCACGCGUUAGCUGCGUUACCAAGUCAAUUAAGACCCGACAACUAGUUGACAUCGUUUAGGGCGCGGACUAC
rnacentral:misc_RNA from 1 species